AGAAAGAAAUAAAGAGGGGGGAAAAAAGGACAGCACUGAGCCCUCAACUUAGUCAAGAUUCAAGAAGCUUAUCGAGUUAGAAGAAAAAGACUGACACAAGUGACAGGACAAAGAAGCAUACAUGGAAAUAGAAUGAAAAUUCAGAACAGAUGUCAGGACGCAUUCUUCAUUCUGAAUGUGCAGAGCGGUCAACCAGGAUCAAAACAUGUAUUUUGACAAUGGAUGGAUGGAUUUUCUUGACCCUUUGUCCAGUUGCCAUUAAAAUUGCUCCUGGAGAAUCCAGCUGUUUAAAACAAAACAGAACAAAACAACAACAACAAAGCUUCUGGCCAAGAUUAAGAUGUGGGUAAUGCUAAUAUUAAUUGAUCCUAGGAAGCAUUUAGUAUUUUAGAUGCAAACCAUUGCUCAGGUAGAAGGUCAAGAUGAGAAAGUAAAAGGAAAAGCAUUUGCUGUAAGUUUUGAAUAGUAAACUGCUUCUUGUGGGCUGAUUCCAAAACUGGAAAUUUUGUUGCAGGUAAUGAGUUGAUCGGUGGCAUAAGCAAAGUUAUUUGCUUUUCCGAGUACAUGCAGUACUUAGCUAAGAAAUGUUUUUUUAUAUAUCAUACACUGUGGUCUUCGUCCCAAAUACUUUUAAAAGAGUUCCUCUGAUGAUUUAACAACCUCUGCAAUAGUCAGAAUGUUUAAAAAGAGAACCCAUUUGUUCUCCACACAGCAUCUCUCUAAUGAAAUAGAAACCAGUAGAUGGAAACUCUGAGAACACAAAAUUCUUGCCAGUAUGAGGUUGGACUCAUGGUUAACUUGCUGAACACCAGGAACAUCAGAAGUUCCAAGGCUGUUUCCUCUCUUUUACUGAGUAGUAAAACUCCAUCAAAAGAUUCAAGGAGCACCUUAGGAAUGCUCAAGCCUUUUUGUGCUCAACAGAUAAUCUUGUAUGAUCCCAAAGACUUUUCAUGAUUGUAAGCAGGGUUGCCAAAUACAAGCUGAAAAAGAGAAUAACCUCUGGGGCAUGCUAUCCCGCAUAUACAAAAUAAACUACUUAGAAAUAAGCAUAACAUCUAUAGUGUUAAUUUUUUGGCACUUACUGACUUGACUGCUAUGGACAAGUUCACUGUAAUGUGUAGCUGUAAGUUUCAGGAGUUUAAACUGUACUUAAAUGGCUUAAAGGUAGGAUUCUUUAAGUUACAGCUAUUGUCAUAAUCUCUCCUUACUCAAGUGGUAGAAACUCGAGAUUACUGUUUGUUCUGUGUAAGCUACAUAAUAAACACCUGCACAUUUAGGAGCUACCUAAUGACCUAAAUUUAAGAAUCCAUAUGGGCAAUGGAUUGUAAAGCAGAGAGCUCCAUACCUCUGCCUGGUCCCAGCGUGUACUGAAAUUCUUAAGGCUCCAGAGCUGUCUGUUGGCACAGCUUUGUUAGAGUAAUGCUGACCACUCUAGUGGAAUCCUAACAAAUUGAAAUCAUCUGGAUGUACUGGCAUAAGCCAAAAAGCUGACUUUAUACUGCUUUUUCCAACAGAGCAACCAGACCACGACACUGGACCGUGUGUGUGGCCUCACCCACUUGCAUAUAUGACACUUCUGGAAGUGAAAUGUCUAUGAAAUCAUUAACUGAUUCACUCUCUGUAUAAGACAGCUAGUUUGUCUUAGUGACUUAACAGGCUUUGACGAAUAAUCUUUAUGGCUAUGAUUCUCAAAAUCAAAAUGAGGAAAAAGUGACAAUUUCACAAUUACUUUCUUCAAAAUACUGGAAAAUUACACUUGCAAAACAGUUGAAUAUGGUCUGUGUCUAUAGAUGUGGAUGUGUAUACUUCUUAAAAACUUAUGUACUUGAACAAUGUUUUCUAGAAAAGCAGUAUUUACUAGGGUAAGCAAUUAGAUGAGUCUAGCAAACUGUACUUUGCAGAUUUUUCAGUUGGCAUAAUUCUCUCUGUCACAAAGAGGAGAGUAAAGCCAAAUAACUUACUUUUUGUUAGUAUAAACAUAGGCCCUUCAAAGUUAUGUUGAGGUCACUAGAAAUUGAAUUUAUCCCACUAUCUUAGCUUACUGCUUAAAGUAUUUCUUCUUUAGAUUUUAAAGAAUUCCAGAUAGUUUAGCAAGGAUGAUUCUGUAGUUGAUUGAAAAGUAGACAAAUUUGUCUUAGAAUUCACUGGGGAGUUGAUCUUGCCUGUUCUCUGAGCUCUGAUAGUUUGGAUAAAAUGGAAACUAGAUCUUGGCAAACAGAAGCCUGUGGUGUCUGAAUACCUUUUAAUGAGAAGGAAUGAAUUUUCUGAAUUCAGUAACAACGCCCUCACUGAGUUCAACAGGGAGGGAACUGGAGGUGGGGGGUGGGAGGGGUGAGGGUGUCUGACAAGCUUUCACCAAGUGUAUUUAGUACAUGCUUUGAAGAAUACGUGAUGAGUAAGAGCAGCAAUUCCUCUGGAGUGCUUUUUAAAGAUAACUGAUGAAAAGAUGGAAAAAAGAUGAAAAUAAAAGUGGAUGCUAAAAGCAGUGGAUCAAAUUAAAAAGAGAUUUAUUUUUUUUUCUUUCUGAGAAAUAUAAUAUUAUAACUAAUAUUAAAUAGUAAGAAUGUGAGAGGGCCUCCAUUGAGGUACUUUAUAAGCACUUGGACAUUCAGUAGCACAUAAUGAAAUCUUGUUUCUAGUUCUUAGGCACAUCAUAAUUUGAGCUGCCAAAUCUGUGUGCUAUCAUUUCUGCUCCUCUGAUGACCAAGACUUGUUUUGAAUAUUUGCACUCUUUGUUUGAGUUUCUUUCUAAUGGUUUUUGAUUUUUUUUUCUUUUUUCUUUUUUUUUUCUGUGUUAUUUUGCCUUUAAAAGUUAAUUUUCAUGAACUUGUCUUGAAGUUUCAACACUGCAUUUCUAUCUAUUGUUAUUUAUGCUCAGGAAGUGUAGCAAGAAGUUGAAGGAUAACACCCUGGUAAGAAGAAAAAAAAAGAGGCAAAAUGUUGGGUGUGGAGAUUAAAUCAUAACUGCCUUAGGAGUGCAUUGUUUCCUCUUUCAGUAGCAGCCUAAACUCUGGAUCAUGGCUCAGCCAAGACGUGUCUACUGGCACACAGUGACUGAGCAUUGGGACAGUACUGCAUUGCUUUUAGGAAAAACAGUCUUUGAAAAUCACAUGUAAACAAGAAGCCCACAUGUUCAGCUCUUUUUUUUUUUUUUUUUUUUUUUGGUUUGUUUCUGCUUAAGUAUUUCUGUAUGCAUGUAACUCUUUAAUUUUCAUACUCCUAGAACUGUAGGCAAUCUUUGAUUUUUCUUUCUAAAUCAUCGAUGGCACACAGACUACCAGAAUAAGUCUAUACAAUGGUAAUGGUCUUAAUGGUUGCAAUUAAACUCUUAAUGUGUGAUAGCUGUUCUUGCAGUAUUCAAAUAACUUUGCUAAAAGCUGAAAUUUAAUGAGUCACUGUGUAUGUGUGCGUGUAUAUAAAAAUUUUGAUUAAUAUCAGCAAUGAUAAAAAUAAUUAUUAUAUGAUCAGGGCUGAGAUUAUGACAAAUUACUAUUGAAGCUCUCUACAAACAGGCACUAAAUUUGCUUUUUUUCUAUUGAAAAAAUAGGUACGGUUGUGAUUCUUGUGAAAGGAUUACUUAUGUAUACGAACAAGUCAGGCAUCUCAUUAACUUUUCUUACUUGAAAAUAACAUUUCAUCCUGAGGAAUAAUGUGUAAGCUGAUUGAGUUCAGACAGAACAUUAUCCCUACUUUAUCCCAUGGCCCCUUUUCAAGGACCUUUCACUUUGCUUUGCUCAAAAAUCCAGUAUUUGGAAGAUGUCAUCAGCAGUAGCAGAUAAGGAUUUGGGAAACCUAGAGUUUGUUUCCAGAACUGACAGUCAUCUGAUUUACAGCUUAGUCAUGUUCCUUUGUUCAUUGUGCUUUUGGCUUCCUUGCAAUCUUUUGUUUCCUUUGCCUUGCCACAUUAAUUUAUUUAUAGUGGACUUUCUUUCCACAGAGUUUUGGGACAUUAUAUAUUGCAGUUGGAUCCCAACCAGCAUUUGGGCCUUAAAGUUCUAGUACUACAAGACUUUAUUCCUAUAACACGUAUAUUUUCAGGAAAAGAAUAGUGGUAGAAAUGAGUCUGCUGCCCUUGUGUUAUUGCUACUUUACAACUCCUUCUACAAGCUAUUGGAAAGGUUGUCAUAAACCGUAUUUUGAGGAAUCUCAUGUAAAACAAUGAGAAGCUCCAUGAAGCCUUCCAGGAUUGGGUAACUAUUAAUAAGGCAUUUUGUUGAGGGAUUGAUCUUCAGUUGCUGCAGUCUUUUUUAAAGUACCUAGGUUUUUGUUGUUGUUGUUUUUUAACCUUCCUAUUAAAAACAGUUGCCUAAUUUCAAGGUGCUGCUUCCAUGCUCUUACAGAAGUGCCCAUUUUUGAUUCUGUUCCAUACUAAAUAACCACUUCAAUAUUUUUCACAAAACAACCAGUCUAAAAUAGUUGGUGUCUCAGGUGUAUUCUUGUACACAAUGAUAGUAGUUUAAAUUCUUUUGGUCCAACAAAAUUUAUGCAUUUUAAUAUUUAGCCUGCUUACCUUGUAUUACAGAUGUGACACUUUAAGGUCUUGAGUACAUUCUCUAAAGGAAUGCAGGAAGGAUAAAAGCAUAUAUUUUUGGUUAUGGCACAGGAUUGUUGUCCCUCACCAUAGAGUUUUUAUUGGUUAUCCAUCAAGCUAUGCUUUUACAGAGUUAUUUCAUGAUAUUUAUCAACAAAAGCCCAGAGAGGAACAAUAAUUGAGUUUUCAGUGCCAGGCUUGGACAGUACUCUAUAAAUAAUGUCAGAAGCAGUUCACUGAAUAAGGAAAAGGAAAUUCUGAAUGGUUGCUAUACUAGUAGUUCUUUGUAUUCCUAGAUUUAGAAUCUUGUACAAAUUUGUAAGUUCUAAGUAAGGAAACUGAAUCAAGUUUAAACAUUUAUACAUAUAUUUUCUUGAUUUAUACAAGGACUGUUCCAAAAGUGAUGCUUCCUAUUUUAUUAUUUUGGCCCAGAACAUCAGAGGCAGAUAGUGGUGGUAAAGCAGUAGAGGUUGAACCUUCCCGCCUGUAUUCCAUUACAUGUUGUUGCUGUGUGACAGAUGGCAGCAGAGGAGCAGUCUGACAAAAUGAUGUUCUACAUGGAAGUGCAGGUGAAGCAAAGUGCAGCUCUCCACAAUACAGGAUGAGACCUUAGUGUCUGUUGUGUUCCUGGCAUGUCCAACACAGCUAAGGCUUUCAAGAGGAGUUUGAGGAGUGGUGCAGAAGAAUUUAUAGAUGCUUUAUUUGCCCUACCUUCCUCCUUCUCCUGUCACUGGCUAAAAAGCAUAAGAUGGAACAAGCUCUUCUGAAUCUGGAUUUCAUGAGGAGCAUAAAAAACGAUUCUGCACGUCUGCUUUCCAGAUAGAUUGAUGCCCAGUUUAUCUCACUUAAAUCAACUGUUUCUGACUGGACCAAUUCCUGGAUGAGUUAAUUGAGCAUGGCUAAACCUAAAAUGCUGGCCUAAUCAAGGAAAUAGGAAGAGGUGAUGACUAUGAAGAUUCUCAGCUUUCAAUAAAGGUGUUUAGUUGUUUACUUAUAUUCUCACAACAGAAGGAAUGCAACAAAUGCAGCCCACUGGAAAUAAUUCUGGAUAAUCUGACUACAUUACUUUCAGUGAAAUGGAGUCUGCUCACUUUACCCGAGUGAACCAACAUCUCAGGGAAACAUGAAAGUAAUAUCUCAUUCGUGUAAUACAAAAUAAGUGGCAGAAGGAAAGGCAGACUGAAAGGUGUCUGCCUUUAGUUUUCAAUUAUAUUAGUUACUCCAUUACUGUAUAAGCCUCAAUGUCUACAUUCUGCAGAAGAAAUCAAUCCUAUUGGAAUGCUGUUCAUUCUUACCAGACAAAUGCCCUGCUUUCUUUGCACAUAUCACAUCUGUUCACUCAUUCACUUCUCAGACGUAGAAAUUUUGGUUUGGAGAAUGAUGAUGUCUUGUUUGAUUUUUUUAUUUCCUCCUCCUAUGGAGUCCUCUUUUGAGAAACACAUUUUAAAAGAAAAUCAGAUUCUAGGAUAUCUUAGCUGUAAAAGAGGGCAACAUUUUAUUCUCAGUGCUUUGAAUAUACUCAUCUGUCACUUUCUGUGAUAUAGUUCAUAGGCAGACAGCUCAUGGGACCCUGCAUUGAAAUCCAUCAUCAUUGCAGUCUUUGUAUAUUAAAAAAAUUGUAAGAGGGCCUCUGGAGCUGGUGCUUGGAGAAGACUUAUUAUGGGGCAGGAACUGUAUUAUUAUAUUUUGACUAAUUAUUAAUUUUGUACAUGUAUUUAAUUAUGCCACUGUUGAGUUCUGCAUUUGUAUAUAUAUAUAUAUAUACAUAUAUACAAAGACUGCAAUGAUGAUGAAUUUAUAUAUAUAUAUAUAUAAU